GGUAUUCUUCCGAGGAGCCCCUUGAGGACGGGACAAGGAUUAGCCAUUCAACAGAAGCUUGAUACAGCAGUUACUUUGCGCCCAGCACAGAGGGUCAGAGUCAACCAAACUGCAGCAAGGUCACAGGAAGGAGAUACAGAAGUGAAUGUUUUUGUUUUCAUUGACAAGAUCUGGAAAAUCCUGAUCAUAAGAGGUGUGUUAUUGGACUGACAUUCCUGAGAAGUCACCCAGUCCUCUACGAAUAGCUGCCCCUGCUCAGAUACAAGGAAGAGAUGUGUUGGCAGGAGGACAGAUCCAGCUGGCUCUCAGAACUCAGUGCCGCAUCAGAACUGUCAGAGUCCCUUCACCAAUCCCAGUACUGCUGGUGCCGCUCAUUUCUGGACACUGUGGGUGCCACGGGAUCUGUAGUAACCAGUCAGCAGCAAUCAUCCUUCUAGAAGCUUCCAGUGUUUUCUGUCUAGACUAGAAUUAAGAUCUCAGAACACAGCCCUGGGGCCUCAGUGUGGGGCUUGGCUCCAGACCCGCUUGAUUCUGCCCAGCUGUGGGAUCCAUUGCCCUCAUUUCCGAGCAUGUGCUCCCUCCCACCAAGAGACUGGAAUUCUGGAAAGUGAGCCAAACAUGCACAUGUUUUUCCACUUCCACGGUGAAAGUUCGGGACUCACUGUCCGAUGGUCCUCCUGGGUGUCCAGGACUCCUCAACCCUGCCCAGUCACGGGCACAUCUCCAUCUUCAUGUCCUUGCCUCCCCUUCCACUUCUCUUGCAUCCACUGAAAUCCUAGGCAGCUCUUAAAAUGCAGGCUCUGAAAUUAGAAAACCCCAGAAGUUCUGAAAAAUUGCUGUUUCUGACAUUCCCUGUCUCAGAGCUUCUCACUGUGGGGCAGAGAUGGUGCCAGGGACCGCCGAUGUUUGUGAAGCUCCCCGGCCCACCUGAGGCCAGUGGUGCGUCCACUGCCUGCACUUUCUGCUGUCAGCCUUUCAGUUUCCGACAGGCAGAAUGCACCACUCUUUCCUCUCCAUCCUUCCUGCAUGGUCUGAAGGGCUGUUCUUCAGGCUCUGUCCCUCCAUGUCCAUUGCGUGAGGACAGGGACUAUGCCAUCAUCCGUUUGGUGACUCUGCCCUUGAUUCAGUGCCUAGCACAAUGCAGAAAAUGUGUGCUGCAUACAGAGUAUGCUUGGUGACAUAACCUGUAUUUGUAAUUCGAAAUUACAGUGUAAAACCUAGAAAUAGCAAAUAAAAUUCCAC
rnacentral:lncRNA from 1 species